rnacentral:rRNA from 1 species
GACGAACGCUGGCGGCGUGCUUAACACAUGCAAGUCGAACGAUGAAGCUGGAGCUUGCUCCGGUGGAUUAGUGGCGAACGGGUGAGUAACACGUGAGCAAUCUGCCCUUCACUCUGGACUAACUGCGGGAAACUGUAGCUAAUACCGGAUACGAGACCUUGGGGCAUCCCAGGGUCUGGAAAGAAUUUCGGUGAAGGAUGAGCUCGCGGCCUAUCAGCGAGUUGGUGAGGUAAUGGCUCACCAAGGCGACGACGGGUAGCCGGCCUGAGAGGGUGACCGGCCACACUGGGACUGAGACACGGCCCAGACUGCUACGGGAGGCAGCAGUGGGGAAUAUUGCACAAUGGGCGAAAGCCUGAUGCAGAAACGCCGCGUGAGGGAUGAAGGCCUUCGGGUUGUAAACCUCUUUUAGUAGGGAAGAAGCGCAAGUGACGGUACCUACAGAAAAAGCACCGGCUAACUACGUGCCAGCCGCCGCCGUAAGAC